rfam:Firmicutes bacterium CAG:110 genomic scaffold, scf347
UUCCUCCUGCUUGGUGCGUAGCGUGUCCUUUUGGACCCACAUUUUCUUAUUGGGACGUUAGACUUCCCGGCCUGUUUGCAGACCUCCCGCCCCCGCAUCGACGGAUGGUGGACGCUGGGAGCAGUAAUGGUCGGGAGCGGCAUCCCACCUGCCUUUUCGUGCAGGUCAUAAUUGGAUGCGAUACGGCUAAAGCGGGGUGCAU